rnacentral:rRNA from 1 species
AACGCGAAGAACCUUACCUGGGUUUGACAUGCACAGGACGCCGGCAGAGAUGUCGGUUCCCUUGUGGCCUGUGUGCAGGUGGUGCAUGGCUGUCGUCAGCUCGUGUCGUGAGAUGUUGGGUUAAGUCCCGCAACGAGCGCAACCCUUGUCUCAUGUUGCCAGCACGUAAUGGUGGGGACUCGUGAGAGACUGCCGGGGUCAACUCGGAGGAAGGUGGGGAUGACGUCAAGUCAUCAUGCCCCUUAUGUCCAGGGCUUCACACAUGCUACAAUGGCCGGUACAAAGGGCUGCGAUGCCGCAAGGUGGAGCGAAUCCUUUAAAGCCGGUCUCAGUUCGGAUCGGGGUCUGCAACUCGACCCCGUGAAGUCGGAGUCGCUAGUAAUCGCAGAUCAGCAACGCUGCGGUGAAUACGUUCCCGGGUCUUGUACACACACCG